CGAGGGGUAACAUUGGUGCUUGCACCAGAUGACGACCGGCGCACGGGUGCGUAACGCGUAUACAAUCUACCUUUUGCUAAGGGAUAGCCCAGAGAAAUUUGGAUUAAUACCUUAUAGUAUGUAGACUUCUCAUGAAGAUUACAUUAAAGAUUACGGCAAAAGAUGAGUAUGCGUCCUAUUAGUUUGUUGGUGUGGUAACGGCACACCAAGACUACGAUAGGUAGGGGCCCUGAGAGGGGGAUCCCCCACACUGGUACUGAGACACGGACCAGACUCCUACGGGAGGCAGCAGUGAGGAAUAUUGGACAAUGGAGGCAACUCUGAUCCAGCCAUGCCGCGUGCAGGAAGACUGCCCUAUGGGUUGUAAACUGCUUUUAUACAGGAAGAAACACUCCCUCGUGAGGGAGCUUGACGGUACUGUAAGAAUAAGGAUCGGCUAACUCCGUGCCAGCAGCCGCGGUAAUACGGAGGAUCCAAGCGUUAUCCGGAAUCAUUGGGUUUAAAGGGUCCGUAGGUGGAUAAUUAAGCCAGAGGUGAAAGUUUGCAGCUCAACUGUAAAAUUGCCUUUGAUACUGGUUAUCUUGAGU
rnacentral:rRNA from 1 species